rnacentral:misc_RNA from 1 species
GGGCAUCAUACCAAGCCAACCAACGCGCCUAAACGACGCAUGAAAAACGCGCACGAGCCUGGGCGAUGAGAGGAGGAGGGGGGAGAGCGUGGCAACGCGCACGGUGUGCGGCCGUGUGUCUUUUCGUCCUCUUCGAGUCGCUUGUGACACGUCCCGUUCCAGUGUCCCCCCUCCUUUCAUCGCCCAUUCUCGUGCGCGUUUUUCAUGCGUCGUCUCUCCCUCCUCUUUUUGUUGCGCGUGUCGCCCUGGAGCUCCCGUCAUGACGUGGGCCACCGGGCCGUGCGUGUGUGGUGGCAGGCUCUCGGGGUGGUGGUGGCGGACUCUUGGUGUGUGUGGGGGGGGGCAGGUGUCUGGGGGCCGGCGCUGCGCCGGCGAGGCUUGCGGCCAUGAUGCCGCUUGCACCGGCUCGCUACGACUCGUGCCGGCGGUCGAAAGAAGGAGCGCACGGAUGCGCCGGCUACUUGUCUGCCUUCGCUGCGUUGCGGUGGCGUGGGGCGCGAUGCGGGGGCGAGCCUGCGCUGUAUGCGGUGACGUGUUGCGGUGGGCUUGGACGGCGCCAGGCGGUGUUGGUGGGGCCCGGUUUCCUGGACAUGGCCGUCGCGCACCAGAGGUAGGUGCGCUGUGGGCUGUGCAUGCGCCUCUUCAUUGCGCGGCUCGCGUGCGGAGCACGACCACGUUUUGGGGUACCGAGACGCUUGCUUCAUCUCUGUUCUCUCUGUCGUACUUUUUUUUCCUCCGUUCUUCUUGGGUUUCUCAUUGUGUGCCACGCGCCGUGCUGAGCGUCUCCGGGGAGAGGGACGAGAGGCUGCAUGGGCGCGGGGCUCUUUCUUCUUCCACACUUUCUCUUCCCUUGUGGGGAGGGGGGGCCUCCCCGCUCGCCCGCCCCCCCCCCCCCCCACACACCCUUAUUGCGCUUACUGUUUCUGGACGUAUAUCCCUGUGUGUUCUGUGCGCCAUCAUGCAUAUAUGUGUAUCUAUAUAUGUACAUCUAUCUAUAUGUCUGUGUGCAUGCGCCUACCUUUGCUUGGCCGGCUCUUCUUCAUUCGACGCACCUGCACCUCUCACCAUCUCCGCCUCCCCGGGCUCACAGGCAGGCGUGCCGGCGUGCACGGGUGCACGCCUCAUGCGCACCGGUGUCUGGACGCGCCCGAAUACGUGCACAUAGGCACUGCCGCACGUCCGUCGCUCGACUUGAUAUAUAUAUAUAUAUACAAGUGUGUGUAUAUGUGGUUAUAUUGCACAUGCGUGUGCGCGUAGGUACGCCUUGUUCUCUUGCGCCAUCUUCCCUUUUCUUGUUUCGACGUGCGCGUGUGCUGUGCGAGGUAUGUCGUGGUGGUGCCGACACCGGCUUGUGUGGUCGUCGGUGCGGCGGGCAUGAAUGAUUAAGAGGAAGACGAAC